rnacentral:rRNA from 1 species
UUGCCAGUAGUCAUAUGCUUGUCUUAAAGAUUAAGCCAUGCAUGUCUAAGUAUAAGCAAUUAUACAGCGAAACUGCGAAUGGCUCAUUAAAUCAGUUAUCGUUUAUUUGAUAGUACCUUACUACAUGGAUAACCGUGGUAAUUCUAGAGCUAAUACAUGCUGAAAACCCCGACUUCGGAAGGGGUGUAUUUAUUAGAUUAAAAACCAAUGCCCUUCGGGGCUCACUGGUGAUUCAUGAUAACUUCUCGAAUCGCACGGCCUUGCGCCGGCGAUGGUUCAUUCAAAUUUCUGCCCUAUCAACUUUCGACGGCUGGGUCUUGGCCAGCCGUGGUGACAACGGGUAACGGAGGGUUAGGGCUCGACCCCGGAGAAAACGCCUGAGAAACGGCGUUUACAUCCAAGGAAGGCAGCAGGCGCGCAAAUUACCCAAUGCCGACACGGCGAGGUAGUGACGAGAAAUACUGAUACAGGGCUCUUUUGGGUCUUGUAAUUGGAAUGAGUACAAUUUAAAUCUCUUAACGAGGAACAAUUGGAGGGCAAGUCUGGUGCCAGCAGCCGCGGUAAUUCCAGCUCCAAUAGCGUAUAU